AGCAAUUCAGUAAGUGCACCAAGUAGAAUAAAUAGUUAAAAAAAAAAAACUAUCCUUUGCAUAUAGGUCAAGGACAAUGAUUGUAAAGACAUUAUCGUCUUGGUUCAAAUCUGAAUCAUUUAUAUCAUAUGUCAAUGAGGAAGAACUAUAAGCCUGGGACUAAGUGUGUUCUCAUGACUCCGAUCUUUCUACUCACUUACUCCAUAGCCUUGGGUAAGCCACCUCCCCAUUCCAUGAGGACAUUCAUUCAGGUAACUGUUGUGGUUUCUUGCAAUUCUAGAAUUCUGUGAACUCUAUUGGUGAACAGAACUCUAUUCUGUGAACUCAAAAUUGUUUAGCAGAAGACUGGCUAAGGCAUUUUCUUCCAGAUCCAAAGCCUGGGAUUAGAAUUGACAGAGGAUGGCUUUGUCAGAUUAGACAAAUUCCCAGACCACUAUUUCCUCAUCUGCUUGGUAUGGACAGGAACCCCUCUCUUGACAACUUCACAAGAUGGUGGCCACACAAAAUGGAAAGAAGAGAGACAGGAUUCCUGCCUCCCAGGGCCUAUAGUCCUAAUGGGAAGAGAUGAGAAAAUGGAAAAUGAAGACACAGGUGUAAGAAAAUUUUCUGAGGAAGCCAAGUCUCUACCUGGCCCUGAGGGACAAGGAUAACUGCUGAACAUCAUUAGGUGACCAUUAAUUUUAUCCUUUAAAGAGCUACAUGCUAAUGAUGAGUGAGUUGGAAAACACACCAAUCGGUCACAAUUGUCACUGACAUAUUGAGAAAGUAUAUGACAUCAAACUAGGUACCUGAAUGCCAAUUUUGUUGUUGUUAUAACCUCUGAACUGUACUGAAAUCAACAUCUGAGCAGUCAGCCCCUGACUCGGCAUUUGAUUUAUUUAUUUAUUUAUUCAUGAGAAAAGGAGAGAGGCAGAGACAUAGACAGAGGGAGAAGUAGGCUCCCUGCAGGGAGCCUGAUGCAGGACUCCAUCCCAGGACUCCAGGAUCAUUACCUCAACAACUGAGCCACCCAGGCAUCCCCACAUUCAGGUAUGUCUUAAACUAUGAAUCUGAAUCACUAAAAAGAGAAUCUUAUGGAACUUCUAAUUUUACUUUUUUUUUUCCUUGACUAGAGGACAGUCGAAUAUUUGAGGCAAAUUUUCAGCUUUCAUCCAACUCUUGUAUGGUAAGCCUUUGUCCCCAGGGUAAAUCUCUAAAAAGCCAGGGACUGUGGCUUACUUCCUCAAAAUGCCAACAUUAAUGAGAACAGUUCUGAAGUAUCAAACGAGAGAGAGCUCCUAAGUGUAGCCCAGGGGCAAUAGCCUCUUUGCCUUCAAUAACUAUGUUGUUGAUCUGCCAGCUGUUUUCUCCCAAGCCUGGGCACCUGGGAUAAUUGCUAAAUUCCAGGACAAAUAUCCUCUCUGAAGGACCACAUUUUAUCUUAAAAUGCAAAGAAUCUGCCCCUAACCAGGACCACAAGUCUUAUGUAUAUUUAGUUCAGAUAAGAAACCAGGAAAGGAAUUUCUUUUCAAUGAGAGUUCUUCAAAGGUAAAGUGUGAUUGUCUCCUACAGAGGAAGUUUGGUAGGGAAAUUUUUCAUCAGCUGGGUUGGGAAGGCAGCAGUGCAACACCAUUGGGAGAGUAUGGAUACAGAGUCAGGAAACCUGGUUCUCAGUACGUCUCUAAAAUGUUCAGUCUGUACAAUUUUGAGCAAGUAACUCAAUUCUCAUAAGUCAGAGCCCUUCUCUAUAAAAUAAAGAUAGCUAUCAUAAUUCCUCCUUUCCUUACUGUGUCAUUGUGAGGAUCAAUUUAUAGUACGGCAAAACAUACUAUAAAUACCAUAUGCUGAUUCAUUAUUAGCAUUAAUUUCACUUUCAUACCUGCCCUUUGGGAUUACAUGAGUAAAUCCUUUUCAGAUUCCCUAAAUGCCUUCAGUUUUGAAAUAGGAAAGAGUUUGUAAACCAAGUAUUCAUUGAACACCAAGUAUGGGUCCCUGACUCCAUCAGGAGCUAAAGAGUUAGCAAUCAACAAAGAAAAAAAUAUAUACGGUAAUCCUAACCGUAAGGACUUCAUAAUCUAGUCACGGAGAAGAUAUGGAUACAAAAGAAAUAAACACUGAAAAAAAAUCAAGAUGACAUAGAUUCACAGCCACUAAAAUGUGACCUAAGGGAUGGAUUCAUACAUAACAGAGGUGAAGGGUAGGCGAUGCUGAGGCAAGGUUUUGUGGAAAAAGAUUCACAAACUGAGUAAAGAUGUGGGCAUCUGGAGAAAUUAAACUAAGGAAAAGCUUAUCCCUUAAUUCAGUCACUGUUAAAUUGAGAUUGGUGUUAAAAGAAACUGAGGCAUAUUAAAAUUUUUUAACAAUUUUGGCAAAAAUUGAUUUGAAUUGCCAAUUAUCUAACAGAUGGAAAGAAGCUCCAAGGCAUUGUACAAAAGGAAAGACUUUCAUAGGCACAAGGGAGCGGGAGCAAGGAAGUAAUGCUAGGCAAAAAAAGGUGGGUUGGUUAUGACAAGGAUACUUUCCUUUAGGAGAUGGCAGGGAUAUAUCAGACAGAUUACCAAACUAAUUCUGAUCAAGUGACUCCUGAUUGACUAGUUUAAAAUUCCAAUUCUGGGAGAGCUGAAACUGUAAUCAAGUUAAGUUUUGGUUUGGUAAUACCUGGUUUAGCAUACAGAACUCCAUUUUGGACCUGUUGUCUUGUUUUUAAUACCAAAAAGAAUAACAGAGUAAUUGAAGGGACACAAGAUGACAGAAUCCAAAAUUCAGAUCUUAGCACAAGAAUUCCUAUCCUCUUAGACAAAGGUGGAAAUGUUAGCAAAUGUAUAAGGAAACAGAGUGAAGUUUACUACAAGACAGAAUAGAAAAUUCUAAGCAUUGGGGCACCUGGGUGGCUCAGUGA